AACCUGGUUGAUCCUGCCAGUAGUCAUAUGCUUGUCUCAAAGAUUAAGCCAUGCAUGUCUAAGUAUAAACAACUUUAUACUGUAAAACUGCGAACGGCUCAUUAUAUCAGCAAUUAUUUAUUCGAUGGUCUCUUACUACAUGGAUAACUGUGGUAAUUCUAGAGCUAAUACAUGCGUAAAAUCCCGACUCUCGCGGGGAGGGAUGUAUUUAUUAGAUAAAAAACCAAUGCGGGCUUGCCCGGUCUUGUGGUGAAUCAUAGUAACUUUUCGAAUCGCAUGGCUUCACGCUGGCGAUAGUUCAUUCAAAUUUCUGCCCUAUCAGCUUUCGACGGUAGUGUAGUGGACUACCGUGGCGUUAACGGGUGACGGAGGAUUAGGGUUCGAUUCCGGAGAGGGAGCCUGAGA
rnacentral:rRNA from 1 species